AAAAUGAUCACAGAAAGACAUCAAUAACCUCUCGUAGCACAGCGAGCAUGUGCAAGAGUGUGAACUAAAUGAUCUGAUGCAUCCAUGUGGUUUCCUAUGCAAUUACACUGGUGGUGAGGACACAAAAGAGUUCUACCAUGCAGUGCUUCCCAGUUCUUCUUUUAAAGCCUCAUUAUUUUCAAAAUACAGAGGCAAGUAAAAAAACAUGCUUUUACUUGUACGUUCAUUUAUGUGCAGGUAGUGUUUAGCUAACUGCAUUACCAAUAUACAGUACCCAGGAUUACCUUGCCACUAAUUAUUAUGGUUAGCAUUACCACAGCUCACAAUGCAGUCUUUAUUUUAUUCCUUAGAUGUUUGUGGGAUUUGCAAAAUGAAAGAACACACACUUUCACUAAAGCCCUUUUACCACCCAAAGUAUAAAAAAACCAAUUUAAAAAAUAAGUUUGGUCUAUGAUGCAUCCAAAUGACAAAUCUUGUUGCUCAAAUAGCACUGUUGCUCAAUAAAGGCUUUUUUGUCUUUUUGUUAACAGGAAUACUUUAUUCAAUAUUUAAAAGGUGAAGGAUGAUAUGCUGCUUUUCAUGGCCCAGACUGGUAAUUCUCAUAAGAUUUCAGAGAUCUCAAAGCACUUCACAUGAAGGACAAGAUCCACCAUCAUCCACCAGUUAGGUCCCAGCACCCAUGUGAAUGGUGCACAGGGAUCAUUCUGGACCAGCAGUCCCACUACACAGCAGGGAGGCCCAACUGCACCAACCCAAAGUGGAAAUUCUGGGCCAGAGGGAGGAGCAGCACUUGCAGGUGUGUUGUGGCUGGUACAUCUCAACCAUGCUGUUAUUCAAUACACAAUCACAGAAGAAAAAAAAAAGACUCAUCCUUCCCACCCCUCCCAGGUG